GGUGGAAUAGCUCAAGUAGUAGAGUGCCUGCUGGCCAGUAGAAAGGCCUUGAGUUCAAACCUCAGUACCACCA
rnacentral:tRNA from 1 species